AGGAAAAAAAAAAAUCAAAACAAUUGUUUUGUAACGAAAUAUGUCUUUUCGAAUUUCUUGAGGGAGUAAAUCAAAAAAGGAAAUGUGUAAUACGAAAAUUUGCUAAAUGAGAUCCUCCCAAUUAAAUCUUAGCGAAUCAGAACGUUCCUGACCUUAGUACUUCCUAAUUGACCAGAUACCAGGAACUCCACAUCAUUGCUUAAUCCAAUCAUUUUUUGUUUUUGCAACCUAAAACGGUCAAUUAACCACACAUAUCUACGUCUGUUCAAAACAGUUCGGAGUACGGAAAUUGUAACAUAAAUUCAAGGAGUUAUGCUCUUCAAACUCUCCAACUCUUAACAAGAUGAUUUAAAAAGGGAUUUUUUCAUUAGUGGUUUAAUGAAAUGGUCAAUCGAAGCAAGGCAAUGUUAUAAUUUAAUUAAAUCAAAUGAAAUGUUGUUACAAUGUGAAACAAGUCACGCUUUUAACCUCCUUUAUGUAAUAACUAGCUGAACCCCGUGCGCUUCGC